CUGGACUAAUGGGCUUUGAUCCCAUAAAAACCUAGUUAACAGCUAAGCACCGUAACCGACUGGUAUUAAUCCA
rnacentral:tRNA from 1 species